rnacentral:rRNA from 1 species
UACGGGGGGGGCAAGCGUUGUUCGGAAUUACUGGGCGUAAAGGGCUUGUAGGUGGCCAACUAAGUCAGACGUGAAAUCCCUCAGCUUAACUGGGGAACUGCGUCUGAUACCGGAUGGCUUGAGUUUGGGAGAGGGAUGCGGAAUUCCAGGUGUAGCGGUGAAAUGCGUAGAUAUCUGGAGGAACACCGGUGGCGAAGGCGGCAUCCUGGACCAACACUGACACUGAUGAGCGAAAGCCAGGGGAGCAAACGGG